rnacentral:lncRNA from 1 species
GCUAAAUGGUGACAAGUUCAUCCUUGUUGUGAAAUGUUUGUGUUAUGGCGCAUACAUGAAAGCAUGAUUUAAAUUGAUGUUUUAUUAUUCUGCUCACUGGGCUCUAGUAGCUCACCCCACUCCCUUUAUCCCCAGAGUUGCAGGUACAGGAUAGAUCGGGAAGUCGGCUAGAGUGAAGUUAAGUCAUGUAUGUUGUAAUAGAUAGUAGUGGACAUGAACAUGAUGUAACGAGUAUUUAUG